rnacentral:rRNA from 1 species
GAAAACGCACAAAUAUACUGUUAAUAAUUCGACUCAUAGUUUUUCUGAAUGAGAAGAUGACUGGAGUCGAGCGGUUUUGGUUAGACGUCCAAUCGAUCAACUUCAGCUGGUGGUUGCAACGUUGUUUUCUUUCUCCGGAGGAAUCCUUCGUAUCGAAGCAGCAGCAAUCCUAGCCUUUUGUACACACACUGAUGAGAGUCCAGGCUUGUACGUCAGUUUGUUCUGGAGCGUCAACCUUGGCCGCUCACGCUGAAGUAAGGCUCGGCCGUCACACGAUUCCACCUGUCGGGGCACCGCUUGAAAUGCUGACCUGAGCUGCACCCCCGUCGUCCCCAGAGUUCCACUAGACAAGGAGAAGCAGCAAGAGGGCCGCUCAGUCGCUUCGGCUCAGCCAUGUUUUACCUCGUGAUAUCGAUCCCGGCGAUCCUCCUGUUGCUCGUGCUGGCGCUGGGGUGCUACAUGCUCGGCCGGAACCGCGGCUGGGCCGAGGCGGCGGCGCCGCAGCAGUUCGCGCCACCGGCACCGCCCAAGUAGCAGCAGCAGCAGCGUGGAAAUCUUCCUCAGUAAAGUUAUAUGCCGGUUUUCUUCCCCUGCUUUGCUUCCAGCAGUACUUUUUCUUUCAUACUUUUGUCUUAGAUGUUCUAGUAUAUAUUUUUAUCUUGCAACGAGCGUGGACAGUUCAGCCUGGAUGUCCCCCUUGUAAUCAGGUAAUCAGUAAAACGGGUAAAGCGUUCUUCUUCUUAAUGCAAUGUAUUGCUUGCUGCAA